GACGAGCCUCACAAACGUUAUUCGGAAUUACUGGGCGUAAAGGGCUCGUAGGUGGCCAACUAAGUCGGACGUGAAAUCCCUCAGCUUAACUGGGGAACUGCGUCCGAUACUGGAUGGCUUGAGUUUGGGAGAGGGAUGCGGAAUUCCAGGUGUAGCGGUGAAAUGCGUAGAUAUCUGGAGGAACACCGGUGGCGAAGGCGGCAUCCUGGACCGGCAUUGACGCUGAGGAGCGAAAGCCAGGGGAGCAAACGGG
rnacentral:rRNA from 1 species